rnacentral:rRNA from 1 species
AACGAACGCUGGUAGCGUGGAUUAGGCAUGCAAGUCGAACGGGAUCGCCCGGUUAGCAAUAAUUGGGCGUGAGAGUGGCGGAUUGGGGAGGAACACGUGAGCAACCUGUCCUUGAGUGGUGGAAAACCUCGGGAAACUGAGGCUAAUACAGCAUGUGGCGCCCGGAGACAUCUCCGGGAGCGUCAAAGGGGGCCGCAAGGCUCUCGCUCAUCGAGGGGCUCGCGCACCAUCAGCUUGUUGGCGGGGUAACGGCCCACCAAGGCCUACGGUUAGCUGGUCUGAGAGGAUGACCCAGCCCCACUGGGACUGAGAUACUGCCCAGACUCCUACGGGAGGCUGCAGUCGAGGAUCAUUUGCAAUGGGCGAAAGCCUGACAAUGCGACGCUGCGUGGAAGGAUGAAGGCCUUCGGGUUGUAAACUCCUGUCAUGAGGGAACAGGCGAGGGUACCCAACACGUACCUUAGUUGAGUGUACUUCAAGAGGAAGGGACGGCUAACUCUGUGCCAGCCGCGGC